rnacentral:lncRNA from 1 species
CCAAACUCCAUGGAUAAGCCAAAGCGAUAAGAUUUUCUAUUUUUGUAUCUCUAUUUUUUUCUUCUUCCCCUCACUCUCGAUCUCACAAAAAGCUUGGAGUAAGCACCACAAACUAAACUUAACCCUGUGAUAACAUAAACAUUCAUCAAAAUUCUAAUAGUUCUUGCAUAAUUUUAAUUUGCAGGGUAAUUGUAAUGGCGGUCGCAACUAUGAGUUUCAAUUUGGUAGGAGCGUUCAAAGGACUGUCAAUUGGUUCUGGUUCGUCUUCUUCUUUCUUGCGAGGAGAUUUUAGUUCGAUUCACGUCGCGCAGAAAGUUCCCGUGUCGUUUCCGAUGAAAUCGCCGCUGACGAUUGAGUCGGCGCACAAGAAAUAGCUGGAAGCACGAAGAACGGUCGGGAUUCGCCAGACCAAAGGCUUGGAGUUAAAAUCUACGGCGACCAAGUUGCCAAGCCUGGCGCCAUUAUCGUUCGCCAGCGUGGUACGAAGGUUUGAACCUAUACUUUCUCAAAUUCUUAUUUGAAGAGUAAUUUAUUGCGUUUAACAGUGAGUAUCGGAGCUAUAAAUUUGGAAUUUAUAAUUUUGUUUUUAUCAUUUUAUUUGUAAAUUAACAGUCACAUAUAUUAUAAGGGAUGUGGAAUGAUGAUUGAUGUGUGUGAAAUUAUGACUUUGAGAUGAAGUGAGUAGAGAU